rnacentral:piRNA from 1 species
CAGAAGACAAUUGGCUUCUACUGCUUCC